GGAACAGCCACGUGUUAUGGUCUGGUUACAGCACCUUGGGUGGCACAACCUCGUGUCGCCUGGGAGGGAGCGCUCGGUGGCUCCGUUCUGUUUCUGUGCGCUUCCCCCAGCCCGGACUGCGGCAUGGGCGCUUUCUUCUGAGUGAAAUGUGCCUUUCUCCGAGUUAUUCUUGCUGAGAAGAGAGAACAAACAGGCAGAAGUGAGAAAAAUGAUGAGCUCCCAGGUGAGCCCAGGCAGCGCUGUGUGUGGAGCAGUGUCAUCACCAUCCUUUUGGGACACAGGCAGCAAUGCCUGAUGCAGCACACCAGACCCUUUUUUUGCCUCACCAAAGAAGCUCUGUGAAAAAAAAAUUGGAACCCAUGUUCACUGAUACAGGAGGGCAUGGAUUGCUCAUUUUGAAUGAAUUUUUUGAAAAUAAUGAGUGAGAAAAUAGCAUGUAUGUGAAGGCCCUGCAGAAGUAUGGUACAUCUGUUUCAAAGCACCAAAGUGCAGACUGUCCCUAAAACAAUUGUGGCAUCUGUAACUCUUUCCAUUCUGACUGUGCAGAAGAAAAAUUUGUCAAAAUAGCCAUUGUGGGAAAACCUCCAGGAAGUUUCUUCUCCAGCUGUGAAGUCAUCUGGGCUUUGCCAAGCCAGGGUGGCAGAGCUGCAGAGGCCCCUCUGAUGGGAGGGUGCUGCACAGCCAAACACAGCCGUAAGUGUUUGAUGUCUGCCCCGACUGCAGGGCAGAGCACUCAGCAGAGAGCAGGCUGCCCAGCCUGAUGGGAAGGAAGGAGGGACACUGACCACGAGGAAACAAGGACCUGGCUGCUGUGCUCUCUGCCCUGGCUGCAGACAAGAGAGCAGUGCACCUUCUGCCCACAGCUGCUCCUGCAGGACCACGCGGUGAGGAAGUGAAUGUGACCAGGCUCCUACCUGUGCCAUGAAACUGGAGACAGGAAUGUGGCAAAAAGCUUCAGAAAGGCAAAACAGAUAAACACACAUCUCUUUGAUCCUAUCAGAGCUCUGGCCAGUUUCUGGAUACUGUGACUUAGCAAGAAUAUAGAGAAAAUUCCCCAAACCAAGGUCCAAGUGCUUCAAGCUAAGUUCACAGCCCAGGCAAAUAUUUCUCUUGUGGAACACUCCAAAAAAUAAUGAGAGUUUUGAAAAGGAAGUGUUCCUCAAUGCUGACUGUCCGACAUGUGAACUAGCCAGACUGGUUAAAGCUUAAUUAAAAAGUGCCAGAGUGACUAAAUUCUUUUCUAAGUGCAGCUGCAGAACGUUAGCUGUGGGCAUAUUUUAGACCUUAAUUAGUAACACUUGCACUAGAGGACCAAAAUCUUUCAUGAAUGCAGCUGCAAUCAAUUAAUAUCAGUUAGGCAUUUCUGUAGGCAAUACAAGGGCUCCUGAAAAUUGUUUUAAUGCCUACCUAGAUUAAAUAAAAACAAAAUACUUACAUGCAACAGAGUACAAAACCAGAGAUAACUACAAAAUGUCUUUAUUGAAAAAAGCAGAUUAUAGCAUCUAAGGUUAAAUGAAACUUCUGACUUUAAUAUUAAAUAACUUAAGAUGAUAGCAAGUAGCUUCUUCUUUAGAUAAAUAAAUCUACAUUUCCCAAUUUUUUCUUCAACAAUCAAGGGAAUCAAACACUGAAACACAAAACCACAAGUAAUUCUAAAGACUAAAAGACAGAAGCACAUUGAAAGGUUUUACAAGGAUAUAUAUAUACAAAAAUAGUUAACUAAUGCAUAUUUUCAGCAUGUAAACUAGUUACAUGAUAUACAAACUGGGAAUUCAUAUA